CUGCGACCUUAGCACUUGAAAACGAACAAACUCACUUAUAUUUCCAAGGAAGCGGCCCCACGUCGGGAUGCCAGAGCCUACUAGCGUUGCGAGCACGUCCUUCGGGGUGGUGUUAGCAUCCCGAGUAAGUCCUGUGGCGAACUAGCGUAUAGAAUGUCAUGGGCAGCUUAGGGCCCUUCCCGGCGGUUAAAAUCCGUGGCAAAGGGGAAGUGUAGGAGGGGCUGGUCGCGCACUGCGUGGUCCGUCGCCGACUUGGAAAGCACGCCCGGUAGCGGGUGUCCCAUAUAACUCGUGAUUCCGUCCAGUAUUGGUUAACCGUUUCGUACGGGAACCGCUGGUUUACUGAGAUAGUAUCAAAGAGGAUGAUCGGAUAAGUUGGGAUUAAGUGGUAGCACUGUUGAGUUUUGUGUAACAAAUAAAGAGUGCGCGGAUGGCAAUCCGCUAAGCCACACGGUUAGUUCGUCGCCGUGUGGAACGGUUUCCGCGGGUUAGUCACCCGUGGUCAUAUGGUGGCCAGGAACCUGGGGAGCUGACUCCCAGGCGGGCCUGGCGCCGUUUGACGUACACACCAGUUUAGGCUGGUCGAGUGGAACAAACGACUUGCACACUUACGGACACGCCCACGUCCACAGCUACACACAUGAGACACAAGCGUCCCAUACAUUUGAAUACAGCUCAUCGUAACGCAAAGCGGCUUCAAUGUGCGCGGCAGAUGAGGUGUUGUGAUCUUUGUGGGCCAAGAAUCAAAUACUGC
rnacentral:misc_RNA from 1 species